rnacentral:tRNA from 2 species
GCUGCUGUGGCUCAGCGGUAGAGCACGUCCUUGGUAAGGACGGGGUCAUGGGUUCGACUCCCAUCAGCAGCU